CUCUUCCUCCUGCUACUGCCAUGUGAGAUACCUGCCCCUACUUUGCCUUCUUCCAUGAUUGGAAGCUUCCUGAGGCCACCCCAGAGUCAGAAGCCGCUAUGCUUCCUGGACAGCUUGCAGAACCCAAUGUGAGGAAAGUGGAAUGAACUUGGACUUUGAAGGCAAACUAACCUGGAAUCAAAUACUGGCUCUGCUGUUUGCAAGUGUGAUCUUUGGGUAUGCUUCCUAAUCUGUGAGCUUCAACUUCCUCCUCUGUAAACCAAGAUCAAAGACAAACAGGGAAACCUACUUGUCUGGUGCCCAUCCCCUUGGCAGAACACUCCUCUGAAGGAUGACAGUUUGGCUGUGCCAGGGCAGAGCUGCCGACACCAAAUGAGCCUUCAUAGCAACUAUCUGAUGAGGAACUCACUGGCCUACCUUUCCUUGACAGCUGGGGCCUGCCAGCCUUGAAGCAUGACUCCACAACGCCCCUACCCAAGGCCAUGGAGGUUGCUGCUGAUGAGCAAGCUGUUUUAUAUUUAAUCCAGGUUUCUGCUUGGAGAGGAAGAAGGUAGAGGAGCCAGCGAAGGUUUGUCUGAAUGAUACUUGCAGAAAAAACACUGGUAACAGUCACAAAACUUUGAAAAU
rnacentral:lncRNA from 1 species